rfam:Lactobacillus coryniformis subsp. coryniformis CECT 5711 COR000044, whole genome shotgun sequence.
AAUCCUUUAAAGUUAGUCCCGUGAGGCUAGUAAGGUGAUCUUUUAAAUUAGGGAAAGUCUAACCUAGUUUAGUAAAUCCUCUUGCCGCCGCGGGCAAGGGGAUUUUUUUAU